rnacentral:rRNA from 1 species
UAGGGAAUAUUGCUUAAUGGGCGAAAGCCUGAAGCAGCAACGCCGCGUGUGUGAAGAAGGCCUUCGGGUUGUAAAACACUUUUUGAGGGAAUGAGGAAGGACAGUACCCUCAGAAUAAGCCUCGGCUAACUACGUGCCAGCAGCCGCGGUAAAACGUCGGAGGCGAGCGUUAUCCGGAUUUACUGGGCGUAAAGCGCGUGCAGGCGGCACGGCAAGUAGGAUGUGAAAGCUCCCGGCUUAACUGGGAGAGGUCGUUCAAAACUGCCGAGCUAGAGUGCGGGAGAGGGAGGUGGAAUUCCGGGUGUAGUGGUGAAAUGCGUAGAUAUCCGGAGGAACACCAGUGGCGAAGGCGGCCUCCUGGUCCGCAACUGACGCUCAGACGCGAAAGCUAGGGUAGCAAACGG